AUGAACGCUGGCGGCGUGCCUAAUACAUGCAAGUCGAGCGAACGGACGAGAAGCUUGCCUCUCUGAUGUUAGCGGCGGACGGGUGAGUAACACGUGGAUAACCUACCUAUAAGACUGGGAUAACUUCGGGAAACCGGAGCUAAUACCGGAUGAUAUUUUGAACCGCAUGGUUCAAAAGUGAAAGACGGUCUUGCUGUCACUUAUAGAUGGAUCCGCGCUGCAUUAGCUAGUUGGUAAGGUAACGGCUUACCAAGGCAACGAUGCAUAGCCGACCUGAGAGGGUGAUCGGCCACACUGGAACUGAGACACGGUCCAGACUCCUACGGGAGGCAGCAGUAGGGAAUCUUCCGCAAUGGGCGAAAGCCUGACGGAGCAACGCCGCGUGAGUGAUGAAGGUCUUCGGAUCGUAAAACUCUGUUAUUAGGGAAGAACAUAUGUGUAAGUAACUGUGCACAUCUUGACGGUACCUAAUCAGAAAGCCACGGCUAACUACGUG
rnacentral:rRNA from 1 species